GUAACUGUGUCCCCUUGCUAUCCUUCAAUAGCAUUCUGAGAAUUAUAAAUCUUAUUUCAAAAUGUAAUAAUGGACAUUGCCAUCUAUUUUAUCUUCACACAUGAAUUUUAAUUUUAUCCAGGGUUCUCUGAAAAUAGCUUAAGUAUGUGCAACUCUCUAUUACUUUUGUUACAUGCACAGAAAUACAUCAACAGUUAUUUCUGCCCACCCCCAUUUCCCCUUCCUCUUGUAUUACAAGUUUUCCUUCUAUUUUUCAUUAUUUUUAGGUUUUACAUACUAGGGAAAACACAGAAUAUUUGUCUUUCUGAGUCGAUCUUACUUCAUUCCACACAAUGAUCUGUUGUUCUUUUCAUUUAUCUGCAUAUGACAGAAUCUUGUGGUUUUAUGAUAUUCCAUGGUGCAUAUACCCCACACUUACUUUAUAUAUGCAUCUGUUGAUGGGAAAUUAGGUAGUUCAUGUCUUGAUUAUUGUACAUCGUACUGCAAUAAACAUGAGUACGCAGGUAUCUUUAUGGUAUGGUGACUUCAAUUCUUUUAGGUAUAUACCAAGGAGUGGUAUUGCUGGAUCAAAUGACAGCUUUAUUUUUAAAUUUUUGAAGAAGCUCUACAUUAAUUUCCAUAGUGACUGUAUUAAUUUACAUUCCCAACUGCAAUGUAGAAGGAAGAUUUCGCCUAUUCUCUGCGACAUUUAUUGCUUUUUGUGUUCUUGAUGAUAGUCAUUCUCACAGAGAUUCAAAGUUUCCGGUCUUCACCUAGGUCUUCAAUCCAUUUGACUUCAUUUUUGUACAUGUUGAGAGACAAAGUUCUAGUUUCAGUCUUCUACAAGUGGCUAUCCAGAUUUCCCAGAACCUAAAGAGGUUGUAUUUUCCCCAGAAUAAAUUUUUGGCUUCUUUGUCCAGAAGCAGGUGGCCAUUGUUGCACAGGUUUGUUUUUGUUUCCUCUCAUCUUUCCUAUUGGUCCACGUAUCUACUUGACUGCAGUACCAUGCUGCUAGUGUUACUAUUGUUUUCUGGUAUAAUUUGAAAUUUGGUAGUGUGAUGCCGCCAGGUUUCCUCUUGUUUUAUGGGAGUUCUUUAGUCAUUUUGUAUCAUUUUUGUUUCCACGUGAAUUUUUAAGUUUGUUUUGCCUAGUCUCAAGUAUAAUGUCAUUGGUAUUUUGGUGGGGAUUGCAUUGAAUCUGUAGAUAAUUUUGAUAGUAUUGUCAUUUCAACAAUAUUAAUUCUAUCACUCUUAAAUUGAAUAAAAAGUUCAAAAUAUUUGAGUACACUGAAAAUAAAGGCUUUAAGAAUGUUAACAUAUUUUCUAUGUGCUUUUUAUGUCUUCAAUAUAAGUUUUAUUUGCAGAAUCAUAUAAAAAUGUUGAAAUGAAGACUAAUCUCGACUCAAAUUGAAAGGUACAGUUUUGGGUCUUUUAUCCUAAAAUGUUUUAUGAAAAACUACUUUUAUGGCUGUACUAGUUUGCAAAGAAACUGUAGAUUGAGGCUUCAGAUUUUAAAAAAACGAUUAGGCACAGAGAAAACUUUGAAUUAAUAGUAUUCCCCAGAAAGUGAGAAACAGAAAUCCCAACACAAAUGACGUGAGACCAAAUAAAGCUGAGGGCCAAAUAUACCUAACACACACAUGCACACGCACACAGACACACACACACACACAUACACGCACACGAGCUGAAAUCAUCCACCUUCAUUUGUGAAGACCAGAUCAUAGAUACCCCAACACAGAGAGUUCUAAAUGACAAUUGCAGUUUAGAUUCUAGAGUCUAGGCAAAACGAGAAAAGGAUUUCCACUUCCAUUUGCUUUUUUCCUAGUGAGGUUUCUGCCUCGGGAUGAGAUGUUAAUAUUUUGUGGCCGUCACCACAUAGGUCCUGUCUCAGCUCUGUGGUGUUCCGGAAAAUUCCAAAAUACUUUCUAGUUGACUGCCUGACAGAUCCCACUUCGAGCCUGCUGCCAGUUUCUGAGAAGUCCAGGGUUCUACCUCAUCCCCACACAUGUAACAGAAGCUUCUCAGUGACAGAGUACAAUGCCUGAAACGGAGAAAGUUUUGAAAUCA
rnacentral:lncRNA from 1 species